AGUGAACGCUGGCGGUAGGCCUAACACAUGCAAGUCGAACGGCAGCACAGUAAGAGCUUGCUCUUACGGGUUGCGAGUGGCGGACGGGUGAGGAAUACAUCGGAAUCUACUUUUUCGUGGGGGAUAACGUAGGGAAACUUACGCUAAUACCGCAUACGACCUACGGGUGAAAGCAGGGGAUCUUCGGACCUUGCGCGAGUGAAUGAGCCGAUGUCGGAUUAGCUAGUUGGCGGGGUAAAGGCCCACCAAGGCGACGAUCCGUAGCUGGUCUGAGAGGAUGAGAGGCAAGAGUGGGACGGAGAGACGGGCAAGACUGAGACGGGAGGCAGCAGUGGGGAAUAUUGAAGAAUGGGCGGAAGCAUGAAGCAGCAACGCAGCGCGCGGGAUGACGGAAUUCGGGGUGUAAACAGCGUGCGCCGGUGACGAAGGGGGAGUGACGGUAAGGGGUAAAGAAGCACCGGAUAACGACGUG
rnacentral:rRNA from 1 species